UCCCAUGUGGCUCAGUUGGCAGAGCAUGGUGUUUGCAACGCCAGGGUUGUGGGUUCGAUUCCCACGAGGGAC
rnacentral:tRNA from 1 species